CACGAUGGCCGGGCUGACAUCGGCCUUGACCAACUUUGAAAUCCUCAAAACGAACGAAUGAUUCUUAAUUCGGAUAUUAGGAGCUCGCGGUGAAGGAGAAAUUCUCCUGAUAUUCGAAGCAAAUUGGCAUGUUCUGUGAUUCAUAUUAGAAUUCACGCCACUUUAUGUAUCCCGUAUCGAAAAGAUGCCUGCAAGGCUGAAUUGCACCGUAAGCAUCACAAUUAGUAUCGUCAAUUUUUGACAAUAUUCCAAGUAAUCAAAACGCUGCGUUUGAACGGUACAAGUGGAAAAGGUUUCGAGAAUGUGUGUGUUAAGUAAAGUACAAUUGUUUUUGAAUUGCUUAUUGAGAAUUGCUGAAUGGUAGCGGAACCGGUAAUCUAUACCACAGGACCAGUAAUAAUAACACAUCCAGGCCAAACCUCCGUACGCAGGACUGACUGUCUCGCUAUGGGUAAACAAAUUUCAGAAAAGGCAGUCCCGAUACUUUUUGGGGUUGUAGUAUACCACAAAAAAGAGGAUGAAAUCAAUACCAACUGAUGUCCGUCCAGGAUCACUCCUCUCCUAUUCCGUCCAGAAAAGCAAUAGCUGGUGAAGAUGGUGUUAAUAUUACCACGACCGAGCUACCGCGGGGUAAGGAAUUUUGAAAUUUGCUUAGACAUUUUACUAAACAAGCUAAUUUAUGUUUUUGGUUGUAGAAAACGGAAUAUAUGUCAUGCGAUCUGAAAAUAUUCCUUUUCCGUGAUCAAUCUUUCAAUAUUUGAUCAUGAAACCCGGAUUGAAGAGACUACAAGUCCGCCUCAAAGACUUAACUAUUUUGGGGUUUGAAGUAGAAUUGUUGUGCGCAAUUCUGACGGAGCCAAGUCCGUUGCGCAAAAGGAUAGUAAAUUGGAAAUUUUGGAUGGUUAAAAAGAAGCAAUUCCACGAUGGUCGGGUUGAAAUUGGCCAUGACCAACUUUCGGCAAAAAAAAAACGUAUAAUUCUCAAACAGGAUCGGUUCCUUUGGUUGUAGCAGAUGAAAUUCACCUAAUGUUCGAAGCAAAUUGGCAUAUUCAGUCUGUAAGGCUGGAUUUCACUGUAAGUACCAUAGUAUCGCCAACGUAAGCCGUAAUUACAUCAGAAAAUUUACAGCAUGAUAAAAAAAAACUUGGGGCGGCCCGGUGGUACAUGUGAAAAACGGCGCCCGCCCUCACGGCAGGACCGGGUUCAAAUCCCAUCCGGACCGUACCCCCGUAGCAAAGUCUGACUAUCCUGCUACGUGGUAAAAUAAGUCUUGAUACGGCCAGGCCCGUUCUAACCGAGCAAAAAAAAAAAUAAAAAAACUUCUACUAGAUGUGACGAAAACUCAAUAGAAUCGGCA